rnacentral:rRNA from 1 species
CCUACGGGAGGCAGCAGUGAGGAAUAUUGGUCAAUGGCCGGAAGGCUGAACCGGCCAUGCCGCGUGAAGGUCAGUGCCCUAUGGGCGUUAAACUUCUUUUGUGCGGGAGCAAUAAUGGUCACGUGUGGCCAGACGAGAGUACCGUACGAAUAAGCAUCGGCUAACUCCGUGCCAGCAGCCGCGGUAAUACGGGGGAUGCAAGCGUUAUCCGGAAUUAUUGGGUUUUAAGGGUGCGUAGGCUGUGAGGUAAGUCAGCGGUGAAAUGCCCCCGGUCAACGGGGUGAAGUGCCAUUGAUACUGCCUGGCUGGAAUGCGGAUGCCGUGGGAGGAAUGUGUGGUGUAGCGGUGAAAUGCAUAGAUAUCACACAGAACACCGAUUGCGAAGGCAUCUCACGAAUCCGCGAUUGACGCUGAUGCACGAAAGCGUGGGUAUCAAACAGGAUUAGAUACCCCUGUAGUC